UAAUUUUAGUCAUGGUAUAAUGGAAUAGGACGUCNCGGUUCUAUUUANUNGGUUUCUAGGACCGCCGUAAUGAUUAAUAGGGACAGUAGGGGGGCAUCAGUAUUCGAUCGUCAGAGGUGAAAUUCUUGGAUCGAUUGAAGACUAACUACUGCGAAUGCAUUUGCCAAGGAUGUUUUCAUUAAUCAGGAACGAAAGUUAGGGGAUCGAAAACGAUCAGAGCCCGUUGUAGUCUNACCAUAAANCUAUGCCGACUAGGGAUCGGGCUGUGUUAUUUCUAGACCCGCUCGGCACCUUACACGAAAGUAAAGUUUNAGGGUUCUGGGGGGAGCAAUGUCGCAAGGCUGAAACCUAAAGAAAUUGACGGAAGGGGACCACAAGGGGGGGGCCCUGCGGCUUAAUUUGGCUCAACACGGGGAAACUCCCCAAAUCCAGACACAACUAGGAUGACAGAUUGAGAGCUCUUUCUUGUUUUUGUGGGGUGAGGUGCAGAGCGGGUCAUGAAGGUGGAGUGAUUGGUCCCUUGACGGCAGAUUUCAAGCUUAACCUUACCCCGGUAAAUAAUCGUUUUCGCUUCCCGACUUUCGUUCUUGAUUAAGGAAAACAUCCCUCGCAACGCUUUAGCUGUGAAUGCAAUUNUCAGUUNUGCCAAUAGCCAUUUCC
rnacentral:rRNA from 1 species